UUGGGAUCACUUUCAACUAAAAAAGUCUGAAAAUAUACUGGUAUGUAAUUACUGCAAAGCUGAGCUGGCGUACAACAGCAGCUUGGAGAGAGGACAUCCACACGCGAACUUGAGCUCGACAAGCAGCUCCACCACAUACGUGAGUGACCUACUGGUUAGCACAUCUGCCUCACAGUUCUGAGGACCUGGGUUCAAAUCUGGCCUCACCUGUGUGGAGUUUGCAUGUUCUCGCCGUGCCUUCAUGGGUUUUCUCCAGGUACAGUUUCCUCCCACAUCCCAAAAACAUGCAUGGAUGGUCUUACCCAAGUGAAGUAAAUUAUAAAUCAACGCUAAGCUUUAGCAAGUGGAGGAGCCCCAGUAAAGGGUAAAAAAGCAAGACUCCAGCAGGAUUCUGAACACAUUUUGGACCCACACUUUCAAAAUGGAAGGAGAGCAGUCAAUUAUUCCACCGCUCAGGAAGAUGUCUGUGAUUAUUUGUAAACAUCACAAAGUCCCACCUUGCAGAAACCGCUGCUGUGGUGGGCCCACGAGGAGGACAGGUUGCUCCAUUUGGCCAAGUUGUGCAAACCUUACGUAGCUGUCCCAGCAGCAAACAGACCGAGCGAGAUUUUUUUUCUGCCUAAAAAUUUUUUUUCUAAUGUAUAUGUACCAUCUGAAUUUGAUGUAUUAGCUGUUCAUUGUCUAUGUAUAUAGAUUAUUGCUAUGAAUUCCCCCCUGCUGUGAUUUUUUUCCAACUAUAGUAUUGUACUGAAUAUCAAUGAUGUCAACUGCGACUAGUCGAAUUGACUACAGCUUUCAGCACAUUAGUGUUGACUUAAAAAACAAAAAAUCUUAAUUAUUAUGCAUUGUAUUUAUGGCAAAUGAGAGACUUAGGUUUUUGCUGAGCAUACUGUAUCUGUUAAAAAAGUCAAUCCAUCUGCUUGACUGCGGUAACCUGGGCGUGCUGUGGGGGAGACAGCUAGGAGAUAACCCACACUGUCAGGUGAGAGACAAUGAGAAAGGCGCCACUUGGAAAAUGCCACCUGUCUGUCACAAAAACAAAGAGCUGUUCACACAGACAAAAUUGAAAAAAAGAUGAUCACAUUGUCAUUCAUUAUUUUUGGUUAAACUGAAUGUUUAGCUUGAGCCAAUUGUUUUACCAGAAUAAAUUAUUAUUAUUAUUAUUUUUUAAAUAUAACAUUUGCAGGCAGUGCUGGGUAAAUGAUAUUUUUCUCAGAAGAAUCAAAAUGCUGUCAUCGGGCAGGAGGCGGGGUACACCCUGAACUGGUUGCCAGCCAAUCGCAGGGCACAUCGAAACAAACAACCAUUCGCACUCACAGUCAUGCCCGAUGACAGCUGGGAUAGGCUCCAGCAUGCCCGCGACCCUAGUGAGGAGAAGCGGCUCAGAAAAUGGAUGGAUGGAUGAAUCAAAAUGGAUUUAGAGCUGUUUGGAAAAGAGAUUUUCUUAGAUAUUGCACCCUAAGGGUGGCAGUGAUGA